rnacentral:rRNA from 2 species
GGUUAAGCGACUAAGCGUACACGGUGGAUGCCCUGGCAGUCAGAGGCGAUGAAGGACGUGCUAAUCUGCGAAAAGCGCCGGCGAGGUGAUAUGAACCUUUGACCCGGCGAUGUCCGAAUGGGGAAACCCAGUGCAAUCCGUUGCACUAUCGUUAACUGAAUACAUAGGUUAACGAGGCGAACCGGGGGAACUGAAACAUCUAAGUACCCCGAGGAAAAGAAAUCAACCGAGAUUCCCCCAGUAGCGGCGAGCGAACGGGGAGCAGCCCGGAGUCUGAAUCAGCUUGUGUGUUAGUGGAACGGUCUGGAAAGUCCGACGGUACAGGGUGAUAGUCCCGUACACGAAAGCACACUUGCUGUGAACUCGAAGAGUAGGGCGGGACACGUGGUAUCCUGUCUGAAUAUGGGGGGACCAUCCUCCAAGGCUAAAUACUCCUGACUGACCGAUAGUGAACCAGUACCGUGAGGGAAAGGCGAAAAGAACCCCGGCGAGGGGAGUGAAAAAGAACCUGAAACCGUGUACGUACAAGCAGUGGGAGCCUCUUUAUGGGGUGACUGCGUACCUUUUGUAUAAUGGGUCAGCGACUUAUAUUCUGUAGCAAGGUUAACCGUAUAGGGGAGCCGAAGGGAAACCGAGUCUUAACUGGGCGUUAAGUUGCAGGGUAUAGACCCGAAACCCGGUGAUCUAGCCAUGGGCAGGUUGAAGGUUGGGUAACACUAACUGGAGGACCGAACCGACUAAUGUUGAAAAAUUAGCGGAUGACCUGUGGCUGGGGGUGAAAGGCCAAUCAAACCGGGAGAUAGCUGGUUCUCCCCGAAAGCUAUUUAGGUAGCGCCUCGUGAACUCAUCUUCGGGGGUAGAGCACUGUUUCGGCUAGGGGGCCAUCCCGGCUUACCAACCCGAUGCAAACUACGAAUACCGAAGAAUGUUAUCACGGGAGACACACGGCGGGUGCUAACGUCCGUCGUGAAGAGGGAAACAACCCAGACCGCCAGCUAAGGUCCCAAAGUCAUGGUUAAGUGGGAAACGAUGUGGGAAGGCACAGACAGCCAGGAUGUUGGCUUAGAAGCAGCCAUCAUUUAAAGAAAGCGUAAUAGCUCACUGGUCGAGUCGGCCUGCGCGGAAGAUGUAACGGGGCUAAACCAUGCACCGAAGCUGCGGCAGCGACACUAUGUGUUGUUGGGUAGGGGAGCGUUCUGUAAGCCGUUGAAGGUGUGCUGUGAGGCAUGCUGGAGGUAUCAGAAGUGCGAAUGCUGACAUAAGUAACGAUAAAGCGGGUGAAAAGCCCGCUCGCCGGAAGACCAAGGGUUCCUGUCCAACGUUAAUCGGGGCAGGGUGAGUCGACCCCUAAGGCGAGGCCGAAAGGCGUAGUCGAUGGGAAACAGGUUAAUAUUCCUGUACUUGGUGUUACUGCGAAGGGGGGACGGAGAAGGCUAUGUCAGCCGGGCGACGGUUGUCCCGGUUUAAGCAUGUAGGCGGAGGUUCCAGGUAAAUCCGGUACCUUUUAACGCUGAGGUGUGAUGACGAGGCACUACGGUGCUGAAGUGAUAAAUGCCCUGCUUCCAGGAAAAGCCUCUAAGCAUCAGGUAACACGAAAUCGUACCCCAAACCGACACAGGUGGUCAGGUAGAGAAUACCAAGGCGCUUGAGAGAACUCGGGUGAAGGAACUAGGCAAAAUGGUGCCGUAACUUCGGGAGAAGGCACGCUGAUGUGUAGGUGAAGCCCCUGCGGGUGGAGCUGAAAUCAGUCGAAGAUACCAGCUGGCUGCAACUGUUUAUUAAAAACACAGCACUGUGCAAACACGAAAGUGGACGUAUACGGUGUGACGCCUGCCCGGUGCCGGAAGGUUAAUUGAUGGGGUUAGCGGCAACGCGAAGCUCUUGAUCGAAGCCCCGGUAAACGGCGGCCGUAACUAUAACGGUCCUAAGGUAGCGAAAUUCCUUGUCGGGUAAGUUCCGACCUGCACGAAUGGCGUAAUGAUGGCCAGGCUGUCUCCACCCGAGACUCAGUGAAAUUGAACUCGCUGUGAAGAUGCAGUGUACCCGCGGCAAGACGGAAAGACCCCGUGAACCUUUACUAUAGCUUGACACUGAACACUGGUCCUUGAUGUGUAGGAUAGGUGGGAGGCUUUGAAGCGUGGACGCCAGUCUGCGUGGAGCCAACCUUGAAAUACCACCCUUUAAUGGCUGGUGUUCUAACGUAGACCCGUAAUCCGGGUUGCGGACAGUGUCUGGUGGGUAGUUUGACUGGGGCGGUCUCCUCCCAAAGAGUAACGGAGGAGCACGAAGGUUGGCUAAUCCUGGUCGGACAUCAGGAGGUUAGUGCAAUGGCAUAAGCCAGCUUGACUGCGAGCGUGACGGCGCGAGCAGGUGCGAAAGCAGGUCAUAGUGAUCCGGUGGUUCUGAAUGGAAGGGCCAUCGCUCAACGGAUAAAAGGUACUCCGGGGAUAACAGGCUGAUACCGCCCAAGAGUUCAUAUCGACGGCGGUGUUUGGCACCUCGAUGUCGGCUCAUCACAUCCUGGGGCUGAAGUAGGUCCCAAGGGUAUGGCUGUUCGCCAUUUAAAGUGGUACGCGAGCUGGGUUUAGAACGUCGUGAGACAGUUCGGUCCCUAUCUGCCGUGGGCGCUGGAGAAUUGAGGGGGGCUGCUCCUAGUACGAGAGGACCGGAGUGGACGCAUCACUGGUGUUCGGGUUGUCAUGCCAAUGGCACUGCCCGGUAGCUAAAUGCGGAAGAGAUAAGUGCUGAAAGCAUCUAAGCACGAAACUUGCCCCGAGAUGAGUUCUCCCUGAGACUUUAAGUCUCCUGAAGGAACGUUGAAGACGACGACGUUGAUAGGUCGGGUGUGUAAGCGCAGCGAUGCGUUGAGCUAACCGAUACUAAUGAACCGUGAGGCUUAACCUU